rnacentral:rRNA from 1 species
GAACGAGAAUCUGAGAGUCCAAGUUUUCGGACAAGGACUUUUGGAGGACAGUGGCGGAAGGGUGAGUACAACAUGGGUAAUCUAUCUUCAAGUUGGGUAUAGCUCCUCGAAAGGGGAGAUAAUCCCGAAUGUGGUGAUCCGGCGCAUGUCGGAGGAUCCAAAGGCGGGGACCGCAAGGCCUGUCGCUUGAAGCCGAGCCCGUGCACUAUCAGCUAGUUGGUGGGGUAACGGCCCACCAAGGCUAUGACGGUUAGCUGGUCUGAGAGGAUGGUCAGCCACACUGGGACUGAGAUACUGCCCAGACUCCUACGGGAGGCUGCAGUCGAGAAUCA